UUCGAUUUUCUUUCCCCCAUCCCGGUUUUCUCCCUCUGGCCUGCUCCUCACGCUGGCGUUCCGCGCCGCCGCUGCCGACUGCUCCUCACGCCGGCAUCCCGCGCCGCCGUUGCCGACCUCCAGCCGUCGUCCAAAACAACGGCAACAUGGAUCCUGAUGUGGAGCUCCACUACGGCCCGAUCUGACCUGGGAGCGACCAGAUCCGUGCGUCUCCGCCUCGCUUCACGCGCCUCCAUGGUCCGCCGUCUUCCCGAGCGCCGGCGCCGCGCUCAGCGCCGCCGUCCCAUGCCAUGGUAGCCUCCCCUCCAGAACGAUGUGUCAUGGCCGCCUCCCUGCCUCUCCCGCAGAGUUAACUCCCACCCGUACAUGAGCCCCAAGGCACCACGCGAUUCUGAUGAUACACGAACACUGGGUCGGUCCUCUAUCCGGCAGCUCCGUUGGGGAAGCACCAAGAUCCAAACUCCAAGUAUCCGUGGAUAUAGGGAACAGUUAUGGUACAAAUAGACUUGAUUGUACUGACAAUUUUCAGCUUGCACAUGGAUCCCUUAUAGUAUGCAAUCAAGCUUGAUGAUAAAUUCUUGGAGAGACGCUAGGUGCCAGCUGCUCACUGUGCGCAUGGGAUAGGAGGUCAUGCGUGGAGGCUACUCGGAGAGGACUGUAUGCAUGUCCGUGUCCGCGCACUUGGAGCAGCAGCCAAUGGAUGGUCGGCCAGAGGAGGACCAGGGUUGGAGAUUUGGGAUCGGAGACGCCAAGAACAAGGGACCAAGGUGCUGAACUAACGGCACGGGCAGAAUGAUUCUUCAGGGAGCGGCACAGAUUUGGAACAAAUUCCAGAACAGGCAUCCAAGCAUUUGGUCUGGUACCACUAAGCUGCCAGAGCAAGAUAGCUGGGAUGUCGAGUCCAUAGGGCAAUGGUAAAUCACAAAUUGGCUGAUGUUCGAUGGGAAGCAUCAGACAAUACCAAUGUCCAGUAGUAAGAUUUGAUUGUGCAGGUGAUCAACCCACGUGUGCGUACAUCCCCUGUUAGUCCAGAUUUAGAAAAAUAUGAUUUCUGCUAUGAUAGUUUCCAGAAUAGUUUGGCCCUCGAGACACUUCCACUGUAUGCAUGUGUGUUCCUUUUUUUCAGAGAUAUGCGUCUAUUGAUUAUUAUUGGAAUUGGUUCGACAAACUGUGUAUAUGUGACAAAUUUACUAAUAUACUGACCCAGCCUAAUAAUAUGACUAAUCCAUACAGUGGAUAUGCGCCAAUGCUCAAAUUUGAAAAAUGAAGGAUUCAAGUCGCGAGUAUGCCCAUAAAAAAUAUAUAGUUUGACUUAGUCGUAGGUUCUGUAGUAAUCUUGCCUUGGCGCUGCUGCCUCUCCUCUCUGCUCCUUGCUGCCUGCGGCUGUCCCAUCUCUCCUAGCACUGCUGCUGCACUUCUUCUGAAGCAAUUCUCAACCCCGUUGCUGCAGUUCUCUGAACUCCAACCUGUUGCUGCUUCUCUCUCUCUCAAUUUUUCUGGAAGUCUGUGAACCAUUCUUGUGCGAUUAUAUGAUUUGUGUUAUUUGCUUGAGUGAACCUGUAAGGUUUGUACCUCAUGCAAAGUGCUAGCACCUACAUAUUAUCCAAAAUUUUCUUCUAAAUGUCAUGAGGCAUGAGCAACAAAUUUUCUCAAGAAUGACCCUUGGUAUAUACUCCCUCCGUCCGAAAAUACUUGUCAUCAAAAUGGAUAAAAGGAGACGUAUCUAGAACUAAAAUACGUCUAGAUGCAUCCUCUUUUAUCCAUUUUGAUGACGGGAGUAUAAGGCAUGGAUGCAAUUUUAAUAAUACUCUUUUGGCUCUCAUUAUCUGUUGCCAUAGAGCAUCGUAUAAUAUAGAAGAGUCAGUCAAACAAAGCUCUUUCAAUAUCGGACUAAUUGUGCCAAUGGAGUCAACUCAUGUACUAAUUCCGAGUGGUGUCAAUGGAGUCAACUGAUGUACUCAUUGUCUGAUGAAAACUCUAGGUUAUCAGAUGAUGGCUAGACAUCAAUCCAUACUGCCAGUACUUGGUCCAUAUAAUUGCUCCAUACCAGUUGCGUUGUGUAGUUUACUAUCUGUGUGCUUCGAGUUCUGUACUUUGAUGGAAAAGAAUACAACCUGAAAUUUUAUUGAAUUCUGACGUGUGAUGCUGCCA